GAAAGAGAGAGAGAUGCGCACGUGAGACAACAACUUCAUGACGUGAUUUCAUUGUCAUUCGAUGAUCUUUUCUGGUGAUUCCAAGUGCUAUGAACUCCUAGGAUCACAAGCUUUCAAAUGAGACCAGUGGUGUUUGAUUUGGUUGCUGGAGGAGGGAGAAAAUGAGUAUUUUGUGGCUUUCCAACUAAAUUACGGCCAACCGGCAGUGAGUUUGGACGAUUGGACCUAGGAAAUAUGAUCUAAACUUUGAAAGCUUCGAUUUGACGCAACCAUGCCUUGAUCGGAGAUCAAAUUGAGAAGAUGCUUAACAGAUAGUCUAAAUUAAAUUGAUCGAUGUCGGGUGAUCAGAGCAAAGUUUCGAUGAAUAGUCUGCAAAUCAGUCACCAAUAGCUCAUUAGCAUUCCAAAUGUAUACUCAGAUUGGCAAUAGCUCACUAGUGCCCAGGACUAAGUUUUUGGUCUGAUAUGCCAACCUAUCUUAGGAUAUAGUCAAUAUUACGGUCGAUUCUAGGAUUUUCAAAUGUUUCAAAGCGUUCCAAGUAACAUAAUUUACAAAAGUAAACCUAAACUAGACUUGUGUGAUUUUUACCUAAUUUUAGGCUAGUUGAUUAAUUUAUAAAAUAUUUAUAGCUUAGUAAAAUUAAGUAAAAUAAAUUUAAUU
rnacentral:misc_RNA from 1 species